UACGAAAGGGGCUAGCGUUGCUCGGAAUCACUGGGCGUAAAGCGCACGUAGGCGGCUUUUUAAGUCAGGGGUGAAAUCCUGGAGCUCAACUCCAGAACUGCCUUUGAUACUGGGAAGCUUGAGUCCGGGAGAGGUGAGUGGAACUCCGAGUGUAGAGGUGAAAUUCGUAGAUAUUCGGAAGAACACCAGUGGCGAAGGCGGCUCACUGGCCCGGUACUGACGCUGAGGUGCGAAAGCGUGGGGAGCAAACAGG
rnacentral:rRNA from 1 species